AACAGGAUUAGAUACCCUGGUAGUCCACGCCCUAAACGAUGCAUAUUUGGUGUGGGCCAUUCAUUUGGUCUGUGCCGGAGCUAACGCGUUAAAUAUGCCGCCUGGGGAGUACAGUCGCAAGGCUGAAACUCAAAGGAAUUGACGGGGGCCCGCACAAGCGGUGGAGCAUGUGGUUUAAUUCGACGCAACGCGAAGAACCUUACCUGGGCUCGAAAUGCUUACGACCAUCUUUGGAAACAGAGACUUCCCGCAAGGGACGUGAGUAUAGGUGCUGCAUGGCUGUCGUCAGCUCGUGUCGUGAGAUGUUGGGUUAAGUCCCGCAACGAGCGCAACCCUUGUCCUGUGUUGCCAUCAUUAAGUUGGGAACUCGCAGGAGACCGCCAGGGAUAACCUGGAGGAAGGUGGGGAUGACGUCAAGUCCUCAUGGCCUUUAUGUCCAGGGCUACACACGUGCUACAAUGGACGGUACAAAGCGCUGCCAACCCGCGAGGGGGAGCCAAUCGCAAAAAACCGUUCUCAGUUCGGAUUGCAGGCUGCAACUCGCCUGCAUGAAGCUGGAAUCGCUAGUAAUGGCAGAUCAGAACGCUGCCGUGAAUACGUUCCCGGGCCUUGUACACACCGCCCGUCACAUCACGAAAGUGGGUUGUACUAGAAGUCCGCGCGCUAACCGUAAGGAGGCAGCGGCCCAAGGUAUGACUCAUGAUUGGGGUGAAGUCGUAACAAGGUAACC
rnacentral:rRNA from 1 species